rnacentral:rRNA from 1 species
UACGAAGGGGGCUAGCGUUGCUCGGAAUCACUGGGCGUAAAGCGCACGUAGGCGGAUCCUUAAGUCGGGGGUGAAAUCCUGGAGCUCAACUCCAGAACUGCCUUCGAUACUGAGGAUCUCGAGUCCGGGAGAGGUGAGUGGAACUGCGAGUGUAGAGGUGAAAUUCGUAGAUAUUCGCAAGAACACAAUGGCGAAGGCAGCUCUCUGGGACGGUACUGACGCUGAGACGCGAAAGCGUGGGGAGCGAACAGG